AUGUGCUCUCCGGCGCCUGUGGAUCCGUCCAGGAGGAUCGCCACCCUCGACUUCGUCUUCCCCGAGCAACAACUGGAGCUGGGACGUCCCGUACAUUCGCCAUCGACAUCGUCAUCUCCGCGUACAUCGUCGUCGUCCGCCGUCGUUUGCCGCUACUCCGGUCCGUCCCCGGCCACCCCGACCACGUCCCCGAGCUCACUGUGA
rnacentral:rRNA from 1 species